AGUGAACGCUGGCGGUAGGCCUAACACAUGCAAGUCGAACGGCAGCACAGUAAGAGCUUGCUCUUACGGGUGGCGAGUGGCGGACGGGUGAGGAAUACAUCGGAAUCUACUUUUUCGUGGGGGAUAACGUAGGGAAACUUACGCUAAUACCGCAUACGACCUACGGGUGAAAGCAGGGGAUCUUCUGACCUUGCGCGAUUGAAUGAGCCGAUGUCGGAUUAGCUAGUUGGCGGGGUAAAGGCCCACCAAGGCGACGAUCCGUAGCUGGUCUGAGAGGAUGAUCGGCCACACUGGAACUGAGACACGGUCCAGACUCCUACGGGAGGCAGCAGUGGGGAAUAUUGGACAAUGGGCGGAAGCCUGAUCCAGCCAUACCGCGUGGGUGAAGAAGGCCUUCGGGUUGUAAAGCCCUUUUGUUGGGAAAGAAAAGCAGCAGGUUAAUACCCCGCUGUUCUGACGGUACCCAAAGAAUAAGCACCGGCUAACUUCGUG
rnacentral:rRNA from 1 species